rnacentral:rRNA from 1 species
GAUGAACGCUGGCGGCGUGCCUAAUACAUGCAAGUCGAGCGAACGGACGAGAAGCUUGCUUCUCUGAUGUUUGCGGCGGGCGGGUGAGUCACACGUGGAUAACCUACCUAUAAGACUGGGAUAACUUCGGGAAACCAGAUCUAAUACCGGAUAAUAUUUUGAACCACAUGGUUCAAAAGUGAAAGACGGUCUUGCUGUUACUUAUAGAUGCUGCGGUGCUGCAUUAGCUAGUUGGUAAGGUAACGGCUUACCAAGGCAACUAUCCAUAGCCGACCUGAGAGGGUGACCGGCCACACUGGAACGGAGACACGGUCCAGACUCCUACGGGAGGCAGCAGUAGGGAAUCUUCCGCAAUGGGCGAAAGCCUGACGGAGCAACGCCGCGUGAGUGAUGAAGGUCUUCGGAUCGUAAAACUCUGUGAUUGGGGAAGAACAUAUGUGUAAGUAACUGUGCACAUCUUGACGGUACCUAAUCAGAAAGCCACGGCUAACUACGUG